UAAAUCAAGUUUUUGUUCCCAAACUAGCACUCAAGUUCAAAAGUCACAAAAAUAGCACUUAAUGUUUUAUCAAAAGUCACAAACUUAGGGGUUAGAGUUAAAGGGUGGGGUUUAGGAUUUAGGGUUUAGAGUUUAGAGUUUAGGGUUUAGGGUUUAGAGUUUAGGGUUUAGAAUUUAGGGUUUAGCGUUUAGGGUUUAGGGUUUAGAGUUUAGGGUUUAGAGUUUAGGGUUUAGAGUUUAGGGUUUAGAGUUUAGGGUUUAGAGUUUAGGGUUUAGAGUUUAGGGUUUAGAGUUUAGGGUUUAGAGUUUAGGGUUUAGGGUUUAGGGUUUAGGGUUUAGGAUUUAGCGUUUAGGAUUUAGGGUUUAGAGUUUAGGGUUUAGAGUUUAGGGUUUAGGGUUUAGAG
rnacentral:lncRNA from 1 species